GUGCUCACUUUGGCAGCUCAUGUACUAAACUUGAAAUGAUACAGAGAUCACCACGGCCCCUGCACAAGGGUGACAUGAAAACUGGUGAAGGAUUUCAUAUUUUG